UUGGGAAUGGCCUCAAGGGUGAUGAAUUACAUAAAUAAUAGAAAUUUUGAGUCUCCCUGAAGUUACCGAAUAGAGCUUAAAAACUGACUGGCAGAGAAAGAUGUAAAGGUCUGCAGAGGCCAAAGGUUGGAUGUGGUGCAGAUGUCCUGAGAUCCAAGAGAAACUUUCGGAUGAGGCUGCUGCCAGUUUUUAUUCACAUUUCAUUUGAAUAUCAGCUAUCAUUAGGAGAUUAAAUGCAUAAGUGGUCACA